ACUUGACCAUGUGGAUCUUCAACAUCUCAGCUACUUUUCUAAACCAUCAAAGGCUACUUGAAGUGGAUAGAUAGGUCAGCACAGUUUUUGCUAUUCCAUGACAGUUAAUAAGGCUGACAGAAGUACCAAAGGCAAAGCCAUACCCAGAUGCAUUUUUUCCAGUGAGAGUAAAUUGCUGUCCCUUCUGUGAUAGAGGGGAUCUAACGUAAGUAACCUGCCACUAAGUGCCCAUAUCAGGGCUCAGUGUUGGUCUCUAGUCUUUGCUGUUGGCAGGUCAGGCACUCAGUAGGUCAGUCUUGGUGAGGGGAAGUCCAUCUUGCUGAGUCAUUAUAUAAGCCUCCCUCCUUGCCAGCAUGGCCACUCUUGUACAUGGGCCCACUGAGCAGUCAUUAGGAUGACUGGAAAAAGAGGCUAAUUACUACAAAGUACGUCAUCUUGUCCUGAUUAUUGAGAGCCUCUCUGUCUUAAUUCAGGUUCAGCAAGGCCUUUGAGAAGUCCUCAAGCCAAGGCCAGCCACCACAAGAGACCCAUGUAUACUUUAGUAUUCCUGCUAUUCUCAUUUGCUGGAAACAGCCCAUGGGAAGUGUGACCUAGCACAGGUGUGGUGAUAAAUUUCAGAGUGCAACAGCUGGGGCACAUGGUUAAUUAUGUUCCGUGUAGUUGCAUGUCUACAAGGUACAUUCUAAUGGAUGUACUGUGUCCUUUUGGUGAACGUUCGCCUAAAGCACAAUAAUCUUCAAUUCUCUGCCUAUUCUGAGAGGUCCAUCUAUAGCCUCCUCCCACCCCCAGACCCGGUCACGUGUCUUAGAAAUCUGUUUUUCCCAAGUCCGGAAGUCAUCAAACCAUUAGUUACUGCCCUUGAAUACUAGCAUUUAGAUCCAUACUUGUGGAUAGUGCUAGUUCAGAAAUAGCAGACAACCACUUGUACUGCUCAGGAUUCUCCUUAGGAAGAUUUCCCUUUCAUUAAGAUCUUUCAAAGACGUACUUGACUGAGGUUGUAAUGUUGCAGCAGAUUUUGCGGCUCCCAGCUGGUACUAACUGGUACUAUUAGGCAAAAUAAACUGUAAACCAGAUCUAAAUUUCUUGUUAGUCAGCUGGUCAUAAGUAACUUCUCGUGCAGCCAAAGUUAAAGACUGAGAAAAAGGAAGCCUUGUAAUGGGAGUAGGUGUCAAAGGAAUUGAAUCACCUACUCAGGCAACUUGCUUUUGUGUUCUACACCUGCUUGAUCUCUCUCCCUCGUAUACCACUUCCAUUUGAUGAUAGGCUGCUGCUGUGCACAUUCUAGUUUAUGACUUACUGAAUCACACAGCACCCAGUGCCAUAGAGCUCUUUCUCAAAAGGAAAAUCAGUUAUCUUCAAAAGAGGGUAUGGAUUUGCUCCCAAGCCCUAGAGGUAUAUGCUUUGAUCCUCCUAUUGGCAUUUGCCAAAGGCUCCAUACAGAAUCCUUAGUUGCCACAUUUAAUGUCUUCAAAUCGUUGGUCUUAAAUUUCAAGUGGCAGAGUAGCUGGCCCUACACUAUGGACUUGCUACAGAGCCUUUUCCACUCCACUCAAAACUGGCAGUGUUAUGGCAAAUGAGUCAGAGCGAUACACUCAAAUGUGGUACGUGUUGCCUCCAAAAGCCAAAAAGACGCACCAAGCAUCAAGCCUCUAUUGCAGUGGUAGGUGAUACAAGGUACAGCAACUUAUAUUUCACCUGGAAAGAACUAUUGCAGCAUGCUCCAGGCCAUUAGCACAUCAGAAAUUUCGUCAAGGUGCAUGAGUCCCUGGAUUUUUAUUGGGUUUAUCUUCCACUCUCUGAUCUCACAUGCCUUUUACUAAAGCAUCUGAAGUGCUGGCUACUAUCUUCAUAUCAGAUCCAAUCUGCACGUCAUCAGUGAAGUGGACCAGGGUGAUGUACUGUGAAAUGUCAAGAUGAUCACAAUCUCUGCAGAUUAUACUAUGACAGCCCUACUGGAAGACUAUAAAGGUGGUCUCAGCUCUGCAAGGAUACAGUCACCCUUUUAAAGACUGCAGGCCUCUGGGGAAGUGUUGAAAGAAGGUUUAUAGAAUAUACUGUGGCUGUGUCAUGGAGUCCUUAAGAGAACUCAGCAUGUCCUUCAGUCAAGGGGCUCUAGUGCCCCCUAUUGGCUGACUAACAGAAGAUCAGCUGGCAAAGGAGAAUGAUUUGCAAAGUCCCAGCCUUGACACGGAGCCAAGUUCAAAGCUAAGAGACCUUAUAGCUUAAUAACCCUGGAGGGGGACCCCUGGCUGGCUCAGCCGUUUAGUGCCUGCCUUCGGCCCAAGGUGUGAUCCUGGAGUCCCUGGAUCGAGUCCCUGGAUCGAGUCCCUGGAUC